rnacentral:pre_miRNA from 1 species
UCCUCCCCUAUUGAAAUCAAUGGGAUGCCUGCCACUGACUUCAAUAGGAGUAGGAUG